CGAACCGACUAAUGUUGAAAAAUUAGCGGAUGACCUGUGGCUGGGGGUGAAAGGCCAAUCAAACCGGGAGAUAGCUGGUUCUCCCCGAAAGCUAUUUAGGUAGCGCCUCGUGAAUUCAUCUCCGGGGGUAGAGCACUGUUUCGGCUAGGGGGCCAUCCCGGCUUACCAACCCGAUGCAAACUGCGAAUACCGGAGAAUGUUAUCACGGGAGACACACGGCGGGUGCUAACGUCCGUCGUGAAGAGGGAAACAACCCAGACCGCCAGCUAAGGUCCCAAAGUCAUGGUUAAGUGGGAAACGAUGUGGGAAGGCCCAGACAGCCAGGAUGUUGGCUUAGAAGCAGCCAUCAUUUAAAGAAAGCGUAAUAGCUCACUGGUCGAGUCGGCCUGCGCGGAAGAUGUAACGGGGCUAAACCAU
rnacentral:rRNA from 2 species